rnacentral:rRNA from 1 species
GAUGAACGCUGGCGGCGUGCCUAAUACAUGCAAGUAGAACGCUGAAGGAAGGAGCUUGCUCUUUCCGGAUGAGUUGCGAACGGGUGAGUAACGCGUAGGUAACCUGCCUGGUAGCGGGGGAUAACUAUUGGAAACGAUAGCUAAUACCGCAUAACAGUAGAUGUUGCAUGAUAUCUACUUAAAAGGUGCAAUUGCACCACUACCAGAUGGACCUGCGUUGUAUUAGCUAGUUGGUGAGGUAACGGCUCACCAAGGCGACGAUACAUAGCCGACCUGAGAGGGUGAUCGGCCACACUGGGACUGAGACACGGCCCAGACUCCUACGGGAGGCAGCAGUAGGGAAUCUUCGGCAAUGGACGGAAGUCUGACCGAGCAACGCCGCGUGAGUGAAGAAGGUUUUCGGAUCGUAAAGCUCUGUUGUAAGAGAAGAACGAGUGUGAGAGUGGAAAGUUCACACUAUGACGGUAUCUUACCAGAAAGGGACGGCUAACUACGUG